rnacentral:rRNA from 1 species
AUUGAACGCUGGCGGCAUGCCUUACACAUGCAAGUCGAACGGUAACGGGCCUUCGGGUGCCGACGAGUGGCGAACGGGUGAGUAAUGUAUCGGAACGUACCUUUCAGUGGGGGAUAACGUAGCGAAAGUUACGCUAAUACCGCAUAUUCUGUGAGCAGGAAAGCAGGGGAUCGCAAGACCUUGCGCUGAUUGAGCGGCCGAUAUCAGAUUAGCUAGUUGGUGAGGUAAAGGCUCACCAAGGCGACGAUCUGUAGCGGGUCUGAGAGGAUGAUCCGCCACACUGGAACUGAGACACGGUCCAGACUCCUACGGGAGGCAGCAGUGGGGAAUUUUGGACAAUGGGGGCAACCCUGAUCCAGCCAUGCCGCGUGAGUGAAGAAGGCCUUCGGGUUGUAAAGACUCUUUCGGCCGGGAACGAAAUACGUAUGGGUUAAUAACCCUCGUGCGGAUGAGGUACCGGCACUAAGAAGCACCGGCUAACUACGUAGCCACGAGCCGCGGUAAAAC